ensembl:Y_RNA Y_RNA Y RNA
GGUUGGUCCAAUGGUAGUGGGUUAUCAGAACUUAUUAACACUAGUGUCACUAAAGUUGGUAUAUGACCCCCCCACUGCUAAAUUUGACUGGCUUUUU